GAUGAACGCUGGCGGCGUGCUUAACACAUGCAAGUCGAACGGAAAGGCCCAAGCUUGCUUGGGUACUCGAGUGGCGAACGGGUGGGUAACACGUGGGUGAUCUGCCCUGCACUUCGGGAUAAGCCUGGGAAACUGGGUCUAAUACCGGAUAGGACGAUGGUUUGGAUGCCAUUGUGGAAAGUUUUUUCGGUGUGGGAUGAGCUCGCGGCCUAUCAGCUUGUUGGUGGGGUAAUGGCCUACCAAGGCGUCGACGGGUAGCCGGCCUGAGAGGGUGUACGGCCACAUUGGGACUGAGAUACGGCCCAGACUCCUACGGGAGGCAGCAGUGGGGAAUAUUGCACAAUGGGCGCGAGCCUGAUGCAGCGACGCCGCGUGGGGGAUGACGGCCUUCGGGUUGUAAACUCCUUUCGCUAGGGACGAAGCGUUUUUGUGACGGUACCUGGAGAAGAAGCACCGGCUAACUACGUG
rnacentral:rRNA from 1 species